rnacentral:rRNA from 1 species
UACGUAGGGGGCAAGCGUUGUCCGGAAUCAUUGGGCGUAAAGCGCGUGUAGGCGGCUCGGUAAGUCCGGUGUGAAACCUUGGGGCUCAACCCCAAGCCUGCACUGGAUACUGUCGAGCUUGAGUCCGGGAGGGGAGAGCGGAAUUCCUAGUGUAGCGGUGAAAUGCGCAGAUAUUAGGAAGAACACCGGUGGCGAAGGCGGCUCUCUGGAACGGUACUGACGCUGAGACGCGAAAGCGUGGGGAGCGAACAGG